GACGAACGCUGGCGGCGUGCUUAACACAUGCCAGUCGAACGGAAAGGCCCUGCUUUUGUGGGGUGCUCGAGUGGCGAACGGGUGAGUAACACGUGAGUAACCUGCCCUUGACUUUGGGAUAACUUCAGGAAACUGGGGCUAAUACCGGAUAGGAGCUCCUGCUGCAUGGUGGGGGUUGGAAAGUUUCGGCGGUUGGGGAUGGACUCGCGGCUUAUGAGCUUGUUGGUGGGGUAGGGGCUUACCAAGGCUUUGACGGGUAGCCGGCCUGAGAGGGUGACCGGCGACAUUGGGACUGAGAUACGGCGCAGACUCCUACGGGAGGCAGCAGUGGGGAAUAUUGCACAAUGGGAGGAAGCCUGAUGCAGCAACGCCGCGUGCGGGAUGACGGCCUUCGGGUUGUAAACCGCUUUCGCCUGUGACGAAGCGUGAGUGACGGUACUGGGUAAAGAAGCACCGGCUAACUACGUG
rnacentral:rRNA from 1 species